AAAACAAAAAAAACAAGCAAAAAUCCCCCAAAACACCCAUCCCAAUGGAAAACACCCAAAACUUUAUAACAAUUAUUUCUUCUUCUUCUUCUUCUUUUUUUUCUUGUUC
rnacentral:ribozyme from 12 species